UACGUAGGCAGCGAGCGUUGUUCGGAAUUACUGGGCGUAAAGAGUGUGUAGGCGGUGCUCUAAGUUCGGUGUGAGAUCUCCUGGCUCAACUGGGAGGGUGCGCCGGAAACUGGAGUGCUUGAGCGUGGGAGAGGAAAGCGGAAUUCCUGGUGUAGCGGUGAAAUGCGUAGAUAUCAGGAGGAACACCUGUGGUGUAGACGGCUUUCUGGACCAUAGCUGACGCUGAGACACGAAAGCGUGGGUAGCAAACAGG
rnacentral:rRNA from 1 species